rnacentral:ncRNA from 1 species
GUUGCUGUAGUGGGGGUUGUAGUUGAUGAACACGAACCCCCGUGCCUGAUCGAUGCAGUGAAACAGGGGGUUCCAGUCAAACAUGGCCAGCAUGAAGCUGGGCAAUGUAUUGGCCAGAAACAUUUUGCCCGAUGCGAUCAUGUUGGCGCGCUG